GCUGAAUGAAAUCAAGCUCCCCUAAUCUCAAUUGGGAAAUUGGACCAAUGGAAAUGAUGUUCAGUGGCUUGCAGAUGUACCUAAUUAACCAGCCAGAUUAGAAGGGUCUAGGAUUCCUUUGUAAGGCGCAGCAAGAAAGACAAUCAGAUACAAUAUCAGGGAUCUCCUGGUAAGGCUUCUGGCUACCAUUAGUUCUGAAUACUGAGGUUUUGAUGAGAAAAAUGGCUGUGAGUUUUGAAAUGUCUUUGAGACUUUCUUGGAUUUGUUGCCUGCUAAUUGGAGGGAUAACCUGUUAUCCUCCACCUAAAGGUAACUAUAGAUAUAUUCCCCAAAAUAAAUUAAAAGGAACCACGACUGGCCCAAAUACUUUAGGUGGAGCAACUGGAUCCCGUACCGAAGCAGCCACCCACAAUGCCUCAGCAAGUGCCACGACUGGCCCAAAUACUUUAGGUGAAGCAACUGGCCACAGUGCCUCGCAAGCGGCCCCCCGUAAUGCCUCGGCAGCGCAAGCGGCCACACAUAAUGCCACGGCAAGUGUGGUAACUGGCCCAAAUACCUUAGGUGAAUCAUCUGGCCACAAUGCUUCAUCAGGUGUCAGGGCGGGCCCAAAUGCCUUGGGUGAAGCAGCAGCAGCAACCCGAAACGCCUCAGCAAGCGUUACAGCUGGGCCAAAUACCUUAGGUGAAGCAUCUGGCCACGGUUCCUCGGAAGCAACUGGCCACGGAGCCUCGGCAGCAGAAGCAACUGGCCACACAGCCACCCACAAUGCCUCAGCAAGCGUCACGGCUGGCCCAAAUACCUUAUGUGAAGCAACCGGCCACUUUGCCUCAUCAAGUGCGGAAUCUGGUUCAAAUGCUUCGGCAGGAGCGACAGGCGCCCUUGCCUCGGCAGGAGCGACAGGCGCCCUUGCCUCGGCAGGAGCGACAGGCCCCCUUGCCUCGGCAGGAGCGACAGGCCCCCUUGCCUCGGCAGGAGCGACAGGCCCCCUUGCCUCGGCAGGAGCGACAGGCGCCCUUGCCUCGGCAGGAGCGACAGGCGCCCUUGCCUCGGCAGGAGCGACAGGCGCCCUUGCCUCGGCAGGAGCGACAGGCGGCCUUGCCUCGGCAGGAGCGACAGGCGCCCCUUGCCUCGGCAGGAGCGACAGGCGCCCCUUGCCUCGGCAGGAGCGACAGGCGCCCUUGCCUCGGCAGGAGCGACAGGCGCCCUUGCCUCGGCAGGAGCGACAGGCGCCCUUGCCUCGGCAGGAGCACAGCCUUGAACAGGAGGGCCAACUCCUCAAGCAACAUGGAUUUUAGCAGCAGUGAUGUUUCUCAGGAUUUUGUGUCUGAUGGUGACAAUGAAAGCACCUAAUGUGUCAGCUCCAGCAGCGUUCAAGGCAGCAUCGUUGAACAGUCAGUCCUCAUCCCAAUAUAGUUACAAAUCGGUUUAUGAGAAUGGCAGAACUGUCUACUCCCAAUCCUGCCACACCAGUGGGGAGGUUAUACCUUUUUGAUAGCGGAGAAGCAUAUCCCCACCUGCUAAAAACUCUCAACCUGCUAAAGGAGCCCCACCACAAGGCUACGGCUACUGGGAUGCAAUGUAAUGUAUAACUUUUACACAUCUGAACUUUGCGUUCUGAUUUUGAAAUCCUUUGUACUAAUCAGCUAUCAACAGAAUUGUAAAUGUAGAUUCAUCCUUUGGAUGACAUUUCUGAGUUGUUGCUGACACUUUCUUUAAGCUUCCACUGUAUGCUUUUGCGAUGGCCAGGGAGUUGCUGCUGCUCAUGCUACCCUGCAUUACUUGUAAAACAAUAAAAUAUUGUACCUUUAAAAGGGCCUCCUUGUGUUUUUGAAAUACUGUGUGUUUGUCUACCUUUGGCUUGUUGGUUGAGAACAGUGUUGGUUGCCAGUGCAAUUUGUAGUAAAAGGGAAUGUGGUUCACAGUUCCUAAUCUUUUGGAUUUCAAAUGUAUAAGUUCUUUGCUGGUUGGCUCUACAUUAAAGCCACUGAACCCACCUUUACAUGGAUACUGAAGUAUUUAUUUUGUGUUGACAUGUAAACAUCAAAUCCUGUUUUACAAAAACCUGAAAGCUUGUACCCCGGAGAUGGGCUACUGUGGCAUGUAAACAUCUUAAUUCUGUGUUUUGUAGUAUGCACAGGCUCCGUUUCGCAUCUCAUGGUUGUCUGACUCUGUCAAAGAAAUCAAUUUAAAGUUGGCUACCUGCUCAGUUUGAUCCACCAUAACUGAGUUUAAUGGCUACUUUCACCCCUAAUUUAGACAAGCUUCUGCUUACUUACAUUAGGUAGGCCAUUUGUCAACUAGUUUAAUACAUGCAGCUUCUCUUCUGUCACAACUUGUUGCCCCAUAAGACUAAAGUAGUGCUCACAAAUGUCUUGCGUUGAUAGACUGAAUGCAUUAGUAACCUUAACAGGUAAAAUGAUUGAAGGAGCAGGUAGCAUGCUAGAACACAUUGGUCCUGUGCCAAAUGUCAUUUUGACAGAUUAUAAGGAAAUGGAAAGCUGAGAAUGGUAACUUCAGUUAGUCUUGGGUGUGUAUUUUAUGUGGUUGAAAUGCUGUCUGUUAGCAAAGAUGACAACACGUGCAUUCGCAUUUUCCCUGAGACGCUGAUAGAAAUAUCAACUCCUGUUCCCAAGACAAUUUAAAGAUACAUUUUUAUCAUUUCACUGCAAAUGAAGUUAAAAUAAACUCAAAAGAAACAUCC
ensembl:lncRNA